ACAAGUACCCGUGAGGGAAAGUUGAAAAGAACUUUGAAGAGAGAGUUCAAAAGGGCGUGAAACCGCUUAGAAUAAAACGGACGGAGCUGUCAGCGGCCUUCCGGAAUCAGUCGUACGACGCGCGCAUGGUGUUCGUUUAGAGCGAAAGUCUAAUCGGAGGCUGGAUAUAGUGUUCGUUCGAUGCAUUUCCAGAGGGUAUGCGCCACGACCGAUGCGAAUGGCUAGCGAACCCGGCGAAUUGAGGUGGAAACCCUUCGGGGUAUUCAUUACCAGUUCGUCGGUUUAUAUAAUCGCUAGACCUGUGCAUUGAGCGCGGAUCUACAGAACGUCGGCUGAAGUGCUCGCUAAGCGGUAGAUAGUCGAUGGAACGAGCCGUACCUGCUCGCAGGUUAUGCUUGUCCCCGUUUGGCUUCUGAAGCCGCUGGCGAAUACAGGCGUUCAGGCGUCGGUGGCGUCCGAGACGGUCAACCGUCCGACCCGUCUUGAAACACGGACCAAGGAGUCUAACGUACGCGCGAGCUAAUGAGUGGAAAACUCAUAAGCGCAAUAAAAGUAAAAGCCGUCUCCGGCGGCGCGGGGUACGAUCCUGGUUCACGCCAGGCGCAGUACCAUCCCAUCCUGAUCGCUCGUCGAUAGGGUGGAGAUUGAGUGCAUACGUUGGGACCCGAAAGAUGGUGAACUAUGCCUGAGCAGAGCGAAGCCAGAGGAAACUCUGGUGGAGGUUCGUAGCGGUUCUGACGUGCAAAUCGAUCGUCAGACUUGGGUAUAG
rnacentral:rRNA from 1 species